GGGAUGUUCAUAACCCUUUGUUGUCCGACUCUGUUGCCUCCGGGGCGACCCUGCCUUCGGGCGGGGGCUCCGGGUGGACACUUCAAACUCUUGCGUAACUUUGCAGUCUGAGUAAACUUAAUUAAUAAAUUAAAACUUUUAACAACGGAUCUCUUGGUUCUGGCAUCGAUGAAGAACGCAGCGAAAUGCGAUAAGUAAUGUGAAUUGCAGAAUUCAGUGAAUCAUCGAAUCUUUGAACGCACAUUGCGCCCCCUGGUAUUCCGGGGGGCAUGCCUGUUCGAGCGUCAUUUCACCACUCAAGCCUCGCUUGGUAUUGGGCAACGCGGUCCGCCGCGUGCCUCAAAUCGACCGGCUGGGUCUUCUGUCCCCUAAGCGUUGUGGAAACUAUUCGCUAAAGGGUGCUCGGGAGGCUACGCCGUAAAACAACCCCAUUUCUAAGGUUGACCUCGGAUCAGGUAGGGAUACCCGCUGAACUUAAGCAUAUCAAUA
rnacentral:rRNA from 1 species